rnacentral:misc_RNA from 2 species
AACGCACCUUGCGCUCCUUGGUAUUCCGAGGAGCAUGCCUGUUUGAGUGUCAUGAAAACCCUCAACCUUAGAUUGGUUAUUUGACCUUUCUUUGGCUUGGAUUUGGACGUUUGCCGAUGUCAAGUCGGCUCGUCUUAAAAGUAAUAGCUGGAUCUGUCUCGCGACAUGGUUUGACUUGGCGUAAUAAGUAUUUCGCUAAGGACAUCUUCGGAUGGCCCUGUUGCAGGACUAAAGACCGCUUUCUAAUCCAUUGAUCUUCGGAUUAAUAUUCAUAACAUCUGGCCUCAAAUCAGGUAGGACUACCCGCUGAACUUAA